GUCUAUGGCCAUGCCACCCUGAAUGUGCCUGAUCUCGUCUAAUCUCGGAAGCCAAGCAAGGUUGGGCCUGGUUAGUACUUGGAUGGGAGACCACCUAGGAAGACCAGGUGCUGUAGGAG
rnacentral:rRNA from 1 species